rnacentral:lncRNA from 1 species
UGAAUUCAUCAUCUCCAGUAAACACGCUUACCGUGCUGUUCCACAACCUCACCAGGGAUCCCAUGGUUUGUAAUUAACUAGUGGAAUUCAUCCAUCUCGUAAGAACACUGCAACAAAUUACAUCAAGAAUCAUUACUUCCAACCCAACAUAUUUCAAUUGUCCAAUAAAGAAAAAUACUACUUAGAAAUAUUACCAUGAAGUUAAAAUGUGAAGACAAAUGUAAAUACUUGUGAUGCAGAUUUGAUUCUAAACAUAUAAUUUUCGAAAAGGAUAAACCUCAAUUCCUUUACAAUUUCAAAACAAUAAAAUGUAACAACAUAAGGAAAAUAGAUAUUUUUUUGCAAUUUUUUGGCAAAAUUUAAAUCUACUUAAUAAAAGUGUAAUAUAUAAUGACUAGAUUUAAUUUUUUUGAAGAAUUCCGAUUUGUGUUUGUGUAAAAAUGUUUUAAGACUCAUAUCCAUUUUCUCUUCCCUUAUUAGUUUGGAAGAUCGUAUUGAAUCUAAAUUAUCAACUUAUCAACUUCAAUUUUAAUUUUAAAAUAUACAUUGUUUGCUAAUAGAAUCUUCAAAAAACUCUUAUCACCAAAUCAGAUAAUAUUUUCAAAUCAAACCAAGUUCUUUAUCAACUUGUGAUCUUAUUUCAUAAGUGAUUUUUUUAUAUUGGCAAUUCUCGAAUUUUCUACA